rnacentral:rRNA from 1 species
GACGAACGCUGGCGGCGUGCUUAACACAUGCAAGUCGAACGGAAAGGCCCUGCUUUUGUGGGGUGCUCGAGUGGCGAACGGGUGAGUAACACGUGAGUAACCUUCCCUUGACUUUGGGAUAACUUCAGGAAACUGGGGCUAAUACCGGAUAGGAGCUCCUGCUGCAUGGUGGGGGUUGGAAAGUUUCGGCGGUUGGGGAUGGACUCGCGGCUUAUCAGCUUGUUGGUGGGGUAGUGGCUUACCAAGGCUUUGACGGGUAGCCGGCCUGAGAGGGUGACCGGCGACAUUGGGACUGAGAUACGGCGCAGUCUCGUACGGGAGGCAGCAGUGGGGAAUAUUGCACAAUGGGCGGAAGCCUGAUGCAGCAACGCCGCGUGCGGGAUGACGGCCUUCGGGCUGUAAACCGCAUUAGCCUGUGACGAAGCGUGAGUGACGGUAAUGGGUAAAGAAGCACCGGCUAACUACGUG